rnacentral:rRNA from 1 species
AGAGUUUGAUCCUGGCUCAGGAUGAACGCUGGCGGCGUGCCUAACACAUGCAAGUCGAGCGAAGCACUUUGAUUGGAUUCUUCGGAUGAAGAUGAUUGUGACUGAGCGGCGGACGGGUGAGUAACGCGUGGGCAACCUGCCUUACACAGGGGGAUAACGGUUAGAAAUGACUGCUAAUACCGCAUAAGACCGCGGAACCGCAUGGUUCUGAGGUAAAAACUCCGGUGGUGUAAGAUGGGCCCGCGUCUGAUUAGGUAGUUGGUGAGGUAACGGCUCACCAAGCCGACGAUCAGUAGCCGACCUGAGAGGGUGACCGGCCACAUUGGGACUGAGACACGGCCCAGACUCCUACGGGAGGCAGCAGUGGGGAAUAUUGCACAAUGGGGGAAACCCUGAUGCAGCGACGCCGCGUGAGCGAUGAAGUAUUUCGGUAUGUAAAGCUCUAUCAGCAGGGAAGAAAAUGACGGUACCUGACUAAGAAGCCCCGGCUAACUACGUGCCAGCAGCCGCGGUAAUACGUAGGGGGCAAGCGUUAUCCGGACUUACUGGGUGUAAAGGGAGCGUAGACGGUCCUGCAAGCCAGAUGUGAAAGCCCGGGGCUCAACCCCGGGACUGCAUUUGGAACUGUAAGGCUAGAGUGUCGGAGAGGCAGGCGGAAUUCCUAGUGUAGCGGUGAAAUGCGUAGAUAUUAGGAGGAACACCAGUGGCGAAGGCGGCCUGCUGGACGAUGACUGACGUUGAGGCUCGAAAGCGUGGGGAGCAAACAGGAUUAGAUACCCUGGUAGUCCACGCCGUAAACGAUGACUACUAGGUGUCGGGUGGGCAAGCCAUUCGGUGCCGCCAGCCAACGCAAUAAGUAGUCCACCCUGGGGAGUACGUUCGCAAGAAUGAAACUCAAAGGAAUUGACCGGGGACCCGCACAAAGCGGUGGGAGCAUGUGGUUUUAUUUCGAAGCAACGCGAAGAACCUAACCUGAUCUUGACAUCCCUCUGACCGGCAAGUAAUGUUGCCUUUCCUUCGGGACAGAGGAGACAGGUGGUGCAUGGUUGUCGUCAGCUCGUGUCGUGAGAUGUUGGGUUAAGUCCCGCAACGAGCGCAACCCUUAUCUUCAGUAGCCAGCAUUUAGGAUGGGCACUCUGGAGAGACUGCCAGGGAUAACCUGGAGGAAGGUGGGGAUGACGUCAAAUCAUCAUGCCCCUUAUGACCAGGGCUACACACGUGCUACAAUGGCGUAAACAAAGGGAAGCGAACAUGUGAGUGCAAGCGAAUCCCAAAAAUAACGUCUCAGUUCGGAUUGUAGUCUGCAACUCGACUACAUGAAGCUGGAAUCGCUAGUAAUCGCGAAUCAGAAUGUCGCGGUGAAUACGUUCCCGGGUCUUGCACACACCGCCCGUCA